UUUGAUCAUGGCUCAGUAUUGAACGCUGGCGGCAGGCUUAACACAUGCAAGUCGAGCGGAAACGAAGGUAGCUUGCUACCAGGCGUCGAGCGGCGGACGGGUGAGUAAUGCUUAGGAAUCUACCGAGUAGUGGGGGAUAGCCAUUGGAAACGAUGAUUAAUACCGCAUAUAUCCUACGGGGGAAAGCAGGGGACCUUCGGGCCUUGCGCUAUUCGAUGAGCCUGAGUGAGAUUAGCUAGUUGGUGGGGUAAAGGCCUACCAAGGCGACGAUCUCUAGCUGGUCUGAGAGGAUGAUCAGCCACACUGGGACUGAGACACGGCCCAGACUCCUACGGGAGGCAGCAGUGGGGAAUAUUGCACAAUGGACGAAAGUCUGAUGCAGCCAUGCCGCGUGUGUGAAGAAGGCCUUCGGGUUGUAAAGCACUUUCAGCGAGGAGGAAAGGUCAGUAAGUAAUAUUUGCUGGCUGUGACGUUACUCGCAGAAGAAGCACCGGCUAAUUUAGUGCCAGCAGCCGCGGUAAUACUAAAGGUGCAAGCGUUAAUCGGAAUUACUGGGCGUAAAGCGCGCGUAGGUGGUUUGUUAAGUUGGAUGUGAAAGCCCAGGGCUCAACCUUGGAACUGCAUUCAAAACUGACUCACUAGAGUACGAGAGAGGUUAGUGGAAUUUCCUGUGUAGCGGUGAAAUGCGUAGAGAUGGGAAGGAACACCAGUGGCGAAGGCGACUGACUGGCUCGAU
rnacentral:rRNA from 1 species